rnacentral:rRNA from 1 species
UACGGAGGGUGCAAGCGUUGUUCGGAAUUACUGGGCGUAAAGCGCGUCUAGGCGGGUAAACAAGUCAGUUGUGAAAGCCCUUGGCUCAACCAAGGAUGUGCAAUUGAUACUGUUUGUCUUGAGUGGUGGAGAGAGGAACGGAAUUCCGAGUGUAGCAGUGAAAUGCGUAGAUAUUCGGAGGAACACCAGAGGCGAAAGCGGUUCCUUGGCCACUAACUGACGCUGAAGCGCGAAAGCUAGGGGAGCGAACAGG